rnacentral:tmRNA from 1 species
GGGGGCGACAUGGUUUCGACGGGGAUAGUUGAACCUUAGGUGGCAGGUCGAGCGACCCGGUGACUCGUUAAUCCAAAGGGAUUAAACACAAAAGCAGACUCUUACGAGUACGCUCUAGCCGCGUAAGGCUAGCAUCUCUAUAUCGACAUGGCCCGUGGCGGUAUAGGGGUGUGAGCAAAUGGGCUGGCUUCAACCGGUUGUGAAGGGACGGUUGCGGUAAGAAAAUUCUUUUCACUGGUUUUGUCCAUAGCCUGUUCAUUGGCGAUGGCGAAGCGAGAACCAAACAAUGAACUAAACCUGUAGAAGUCUAAGGGGAAGAUCUUCGGACGCGGGUUCAAUUCCCGCCGCCUCCACCA